rnacentral:rRNA from 1 species
GAUGAACGCUAGCGGCAGGCCUAAUACAUGCAAGUCGAACGGUGUCUUCGGACAUAGUGGCGCACGGGUGCGUAACACGUAUGCAACCUACCUUACAUUGGGGGAUAGCCUUUCGAAAGGGAGAUUAAUACCGCAUAAGACAGUAGCUGGGCAUCCAGCAGCUGUUAAAGAUUUAUCGAUGUAAGCUGGGCAUGCGUCCAAUUAGCUAGUUGGUGAGGUAACGGCUCACCAAGGCAAUGAUUGGUAGGGGAACUGAGAGGUCAAUCCCCCACACUGGCACUGAAAUACGGGCCAGACUCCUACGGGAGGAGGCAGUAGGGAAUAUUGGGCGAUGGACGCAAGUCUGACCCAGCCAUGCCGCGUGCAGGAUGAAGGCGUUAUGCGUUGUAAACUGCUUUUAUACAGGAAGAAACGACUCUUGCGAGAGGCAUUGACGGUACUGUAUGAAUAAGCACCGGCUAACUCCGUGCCAGCCGCCGCCGUAAGAC